CACUUAUUUAGUAGGUAGUGAUUUAGGACACAGCCAUGUGAACUUUAUUCUGAGGCUGUGACCGUUUCCUGCUCUGUUGAGUCGUUAUACAAACUCAAAUGGGCAGGUUAGUUGUAAACACUCGAAUGUGGUUUAGUUAACCUAGUUUGCUGCAAGGUGGACGGGCCUGAGGCCAUCGCUUGGCGCUCCAGGCAGAAGCCAUGCAGCAGAAGAGGAACAUCCAAAUCAUAGAAUGGGAGGACUUGGACAAGCGCAAGUUCUACUCUUUCGGUGUCUUUAUGACCAUGACUAUCCGUGCUACGGUCUACCCUGCCAUGCUCAUCCGCACCAGGCUGCAAGUUCAGAAGGGAAAAACUCUAUAUAGCGGCACCUAUGACGCCUUCCGGAAAAUCCUGAGCGCUGAGGGGAUUAGAGGAUUUUACAGAGGCUUCAUGGUGAACACCUUUACGCUCAUAUCAGGGCAGGCUUAUAUCACGACGUAUGAGGUGGUAAGGAAGUACGUCUCCAAGUACUCCAAGGACAACACUGUAAAGUCGCUGGUGGCAGGAGGGUCAGCAUCUCUUGUUGCCCAGAGUAUAACAGUCCCCAUCGACGUGAUCUCUCAGCAGCUCAUGAUGCAGGGUGAAGGGCAGCAUCUGACACGCUUUAAAGUGAAAUCAAAUGCGACAUGUGGAGCAAAGCAAAGUGUUAGCUUUGGACAGACAAGAGACAUUAUAGGUCAGAUAUUUGCAGCUGAUGGGUUCCGUGGGUUUUACAGAGGAUAUGUGGCAUCUCUUCUCACAUACAUACCCAACAGCGCAGUCUGGUGGCCUUUUUACCACUUUUAUGCUGCUGAAGGAGAAAAUAGGCGAACAGCUCUCCAAAAUGGCACCGAGUGACUGCCCACAUUUAGUACUGCAAGCCAUGGCUGGACCACUAGCAGCUGCCACUUCAUCCACUGUCACCAAUCCGAUGGAUGUCGUACGAGCCAGAGUUCAGGUUGAAGGCAGGACAUCAGUCAUUGAGACAUUCAAGGAGCUGCUCAGAGAAGAAGGAUUCUGGGGGAUGACCAAGGGUCUUUCUGCCCGCAUCAUAUCCUCCACUCCUACAGCUAUAGUUAUGGUUCUCGGCUACGAAACUCUGAAAAAACUGAGCCUUCGUCCAGAGCUGGUUGAUUCCAGGCACUGGUGAAGGAGCUGUUGAUGUCUGAUCAGUGACGUCCUUAGACAAAGUCCAUUUUAGAUUUUUUCUUUUAAACAUGUUGUCUCAUGGCUUUUUUGUGUGUUGAUGUCAUUUUAAAAUUGGUGGUAAAGGGUGUUUUUAUUAUUAUUAUUUGUUUUUAUUUGUCAUUACUGUAAUUGAAAUGCUGUUAUAGUUUGUGAGGAACUCUGCUUUCUUAAAAACUGUAAAAAUAUUUUAUUGGAAACAUAGGCAUUUUAAUGUGUUAAUUUAUUUUUGUUACUAACUAGUUUUUUUUUGUUGUUGUUUAUUUCCGUGGGGUUACGUUUGUUUCAGAAUUCCUUGCUACUUGUCCUUUGACACUUUGUGUUAAGUGCUGCACUGAAUAAUGUUCAGACGACAUCUCAUUUUAAAAUUCUAAUUUCUAAUCAUGGAAAGAGUGACAUUUAUUUUUAAAACAGGAUAAAGUGUACUGCUUGCACAGAAUGAGUAAGAAAAUAUGCAGUGUGAUUGUAAUGCUCUAAAAAUUCAGUAUAAAGAUGCAAUCUGUCAAAAG